rnacentral:rRNA from 1 species
UGGCUUCCAUCUGGAAGAAGUCUGGAGACAGGUGGCUGCAUGGCUGUCGUCAGCUCGUGUCGUGAGAUGUUGGGUUAAGUCCGCAACGAGCGCAACCCUUGCCUUAGUUGCCAGCAGUUCGGCUGGGCACUCUAAAGGGACUGCCGGUGUUAAACCGGAGGAAGGUGGGGAUGACGUCAAGUCCUCAUGGCCUUUAUGACCAGGGCUACACACGUACUACAAUGGCCGAUACAAAGGGCAGCGACACUGCGAGGUGAAGCCAAUCCCGUAAAAUCGGUCUCAGUCCGGAUUGGAGUCUGCAACUCGACUCCAUGAAGUUGGAAUCGCUAGUAAUCGUGGAUCAGCAUGCCACGGUGAAUACGUUCCCGGGCCUU